rnacentral:rRNA from 1 species
CACGUUGAAAAGUGCGGGGAUGAGGUGUGGGUAGCGGAGAAAUUCCAAUCGAACCUGGAGAUAGCUGGUUCUCCCCGAAAUAGCUUUAGGGCUAGCCUUAAGUGUAAGAGUCUUGGAGGUAGAGCACUGAUUGGACUAGGGGUCCUCAUCGGAUUACCGAAUUCAGUCAAACUCCGAAUGCCAAUGACUUAUCCUUAGGAGUCAGACUGCGAGUGAUAAGAUCCGUAGUCAAAAGGGAAACAGCCCAGACCGCCAGCUAAGGUCCCAAAGUGUGUAUUAAGUGGAAAAGGAUGUGGAGUUGCUUAGACAACUAGGAUGUUGGCUUAGAAGCAGCCACCAUUUAAAGAGUGCGUAAUAGCUCACUAGUCGAGUGACUCUGCGCCGAAAAUGUACCGGGGCUAAAUACACCACCGAAGCUGCGGAUUGAUACCAAUGGUAUCAGUGGUAGGGGAGCGUUCUAAGGACAGUGAAGUCAGACCGGAAGGACUGGUGGAGUGCUUAGAAGUGAGAAUGCCGGUAUGAGUAGCGAAAGACGGGUGAGAAUCCCGUCCACCGAAUGCCUAAGGUUUCCUGAGGAAGGCUCGUCCGCUCAGGGUUAGUCAGGACCUAAGCCGAGGCCGACAGGCGUAGGCGAUGGACAACAGGUUGAUAUUCCUGUACCACCUCUUUAUCGUUUGAGCAAUGGAGGGACGCAGAAGGAUAGAAGAAGCGUGCGAUUGGUUGUGCACGUCCAAGCAGUUAGGCUGAUAAGUAGGCAAAUCCGCUUAUCGUAAAGGCUGAGCUGUGAUGGGGAAGCUCCUUAUGGAGCGAAGUCUUUGAUUCCCCGCUGCCAAGAAAAGCUUCUAGCGAGAUAAAAGGUGCCUGUACCGCAAACCGACACAGGUAGGCGAGGAGAGAAUCCUAAGGUGUGCGAGAGAACUCUGGUUAAGGAACUCGGCAAAAUGACCCCGUAACUUCGGGAGAAGGGGUGCUUUCUUAACGGAAAGCCGCAGUGAAUAGGCCCAAGCGACUGUUUAGCAAAAACACAGCUCUCUGCGAAGCCGUAAGGCGAAGUAUAGGGGGUGACACCUGCCCGGUGCUGGAAGGUUAAGGAGAGGGGUUAGCGUAAGCGAAGCUCUGAACUGAAGCCCCAGUAAACGGCGGCCGUAACUAUAACGGUCCUAAGGUAGCGAAAUUCCUUGUCGGGUAAGUUCCGACCCGCACGAAAGGCGUAAUGAUUUGGGCACUGUCUCAACCAGAGACUCGGUGAAAUUAUAGUACCUGUGAAGAUGCAGGUUACCCGCGACAGGACGGAAAGACCCCGUGGAGCUUUACUGUAGCCUGAUAUUGAAUUUUGGUACAGUUUGUACAGGAUAGGCGGGAGCCAUUGAAACCGGAGCGCUAGCUUCGGUGGAGGCGCUGGUGGGAUACCGCCCUGACUGUAUUGAAAUUCUAACCUACGGGUCUUAUCGACCCGGGAGACAGUGUCAGGUGGGCAGUUUGACUGGGGCGGUCGCCUCCUAAAGUGUAACGGAGGCGCCCAAAGGUUCCCUCAGAAUGGUUGGAAAUCAUUCGUAGAGUGCAAAGGCAUAAGGGAGCUUGACUGCGAGACCUACAAGUCGAGCAGGGACGAAAGUCGGGCUUAGUGAUCCGGUGGUUCCGCAUGGAAGGGCCAUCGCUCAACGGAUAAAAGCUACCCCGGGGAUAACAGGCUUAUCUCCCCCAAGAGUCCACAUCGACGGGGAGGUUUGGCACCUCGAUGUCGGCUCAUCGCAUCCUGGGGCUGUAGUCGGUCCCAAGGGUUGGGCUGUUCGCCCAUUAAAGCGGCACGCGAGCUGGGUUCAGAACGUCGUGAGACAGUUCGGUCCCUAUCCGUCGCGGGCGUAGGAAAUUUGAGAGGAUCUGCUCCUAGUACGAGAGGACCAGAGUGGACUUACCGCUGGUGUACCAGUUGUCUUGCCAAAGGCAUCGCUGGGUAGCUAUGUAGGGAAGGGAUAAACGCUGAAAGCAUCUAAGUGUGAAACCCACCUCAAGAUGAGAUUUCCCAUGAUUAUAUAUCAGUAAGAGCCCUGAGAGAUGAUCAGGUAGAUAGGUUAGAAGUGGAAGUGUGGCGACACAUGUAGCGGACUAAUACUAAUAGCUCGAGGACUUAUCCAA